AUUGAACGCUGGCGGCAGGCCUAACACAUUCACGUCGAGCGAGCGGCGGACGGGUGAGUAAUGUAUGGGGACUGCCCGAUAGAGGGGGAUAACUACUGGAAACGGUGGCUAAUAACGCAUACUAUCGGAUAACCCAUAUGGGAUUAGCUAGUAGGCGGGGUAAAGGCUUGCCUAGGAGACGAUCUCUAGCUGGUCUGAGAGGAUGAUCAGCCAACUGGGGACUGAGACACGGCCCAGAAUCCUACGGAGGCAGCUGUGUGGAAUAUUGCACAGUGGGCGCAAGCCUGAUGCAACCAUGCCGCUUGGAUGAAGAAGGCCUUAGGGUUGUAAAGUACUUUCAGCGGGGAGGCGUUACCCGCAGAAGAAGCACCGGCUAACUCCGUGCCAGCAGCCGCGGUAAUAC
rnacentral:rRNA from 1 species